UACGAAGGGGGCUAGCGUUGCUCGGAAUUACUGGGCGUAAAGCGCACGCAGGUGGCUGAGUCAGUCGAUUGUGAAAGCCCUGGGCUUAACCUGGGAAUUGCAGUCGAUACUACUCAGCUAGAGUAUGGGAGAGGGCAGUGGAAUUCCCGGUGUAGCGGUGAAAUGCGUAGAUAUCGGGAGGAACGCCGGUGGCGAAAGCGACUGUCUGGGGUGCCUGUGACGCUGAGGCGCGAAAGCCAGGGGAUCAAACGGG
rnacentral:rRNA from 1 species